rnacentral:misc_RNA from 1 species
UGCAACUGCCGCGGAUCAAUCUGGCGAUCGAUGCUCUGUCGCGGGCCUAUGACUAUGUCGUGCUCGAUGCGGGCACCGCGUCGGAUCUGCCGGCGACCGUCAUCGCCGCGCAGGCGCAUGCGGUUAUCAUUCCCGAUCCCGCGAUCACCGCGGCUGCACGCGAGAUGAUGAAGACUCAGCUUCUUGAAUCGGGCUUUGCCGGCGUGACCAUUCUGACCACAUCACUGAACCCAAU